UUUGGUCAAAUUUGGUUAAAAAGUUUAGUUGCAGUGACUUUUUUUCUCUUUCUUAUUUGUGCACUGAAGUUUCUCCUUUCUUAUUUUGCCGCGCAAUAAAGUUUUCUUCUUUCUUAUUUUGCCCCUGUAACUUGUGCUUUGGCUGAUGCUUAUCUUUUCUUCCUCAAAGUCGGUUGCUGCCAUUCUCCUCCAAUACGCUUUCUCCCUCUAAUCUCGGCUCUUCUUGCUCUCCCAAAAAUCUAUUUGUAUCUUAGAGUCCCAGAGGCGGAGUGAGAUCGGAGAGAGAGAGAGAGAGAGAGAAAAUAGACACCUCUCCAGCUGUUUCUUUUCCCAUUGUAUAUGAUAAAUUGUUGAGGUAAAUCGAGGUCCCGGAUAAUUUCUUGCGAUCGGAAACGUUAUCGGCUUCGAUGAGACUGAUCUUCAUCGCUCCCAGGUUAAAAUAAGGACACAUGCAAUACGUAGAGCUCAUGAGAACAUUGCUAAGACUUUGAAGGCUGCUAAUGUUAUAUUGAACAAAUUUGAUCUUUCUCGCGAGGGCAAUGAAGGUUGAAAAAGAGAAAAUUAAGACUGAGAAAGUGGGUAUUCACAGGCACCUUUGAUUCCAAGAAUGUUUCAUGUUCUUUGUUACCAUGGAACCACCUGCGUUCCAUCGGACCACCGGUUGAAUUUCUGCAAUAGUUUAUAAUACCGAUUUUUUUGCUUUCCAUCUGACUGAUUUCCAAGCAAAUGAUUUCUGACUUCACAUACUUAUUAUGUGAAUGAUUGUUGAAUCUGAUUUUAAAACUAAAUUUUCAUAUUGAUUUGUACUGGUUUCUGAUUU